rnacentral:rRNA from 1 species
UACGAAGGGGGCUAGCGUUGCUCGGAAUCACUGGGCGUAAAGCGCACGUAGGCGGCUUUUUAAGUCAGAGGUGAAAUCCUGGAGCUCAACUCCAGAACUGCCUUUGAUACUGGAGAGCUUGAGUCCGGGAGAGGUGAGUGGAACUGCGAGUGUAGAGGUGAAAUUCGUAGAUAUUCGGAAGAACACCAGUGGCGAAGGCGACUUACUGGACACGUAUUGACGCUGAGGUGCGAAAGCGUGGGGAGCAAACAGG